AAGAAUGGGGUUUUCCAAAAAUAUUUGUUUUUUUAUAUUUGGUUAAGCCAAAUGGGCUUUAAUCUUAACAAAUUACAAAGUUAAAUUUCGGCCCAAGCCCCAUCCGUCACAACAAUAUCUACCGACAACAUAUGCUUCCAUUUUUUCUUGUUUUAGACAUAUCGAAAAUAAAAUAAAAAACAAAAGAAACGCUUCUCCGAUGGCGAUUCAGUGAACAAAAGAGAAAGCGGCCGACUCGUUCCUCUACGAUCUUCAUCGGAUGAUGUAUCGAAGGAAGUAAUCAACUCGAGCCUGAUGCUUUAGCUUCAUCAAAGCCUUGAGUUCAUGUUUCCUCACCAUUUCUCUGGUAAGAAUGAACCAAUCUCCGAUAAAUAAUGUGGUACAUAUAGGUUGUAUAAUAGAUUUUGAGAUGAAUAGAUUUGUUAAUCGGGUCAGUGUUUUAGUAUCCUAUCUCGAUAAUACUGUAAUGGUUGUCAUGGUUUUCAUAUCAAUACAUCUUUUCUUAGCUUGUAUAUAAAGUUUUGAGAUGAAUAAAUUUGUUAACCCGG